GCCUGGCUGGCUCAGUCCGUGGAGCAUGUGAUUCCUGAUCUCGAGGGUGUAAGUUUGAGUCCUACGUUGGGUG
rnacentral:tRNA from 1 species